AAGCCCCGGCAGGAGUCAUUUGCUCUUUUAAAAUUUGCAAUUUUAUGUGCUGUACACCACAGGGCU
rnacentral:tRNA from 2 species